rnacentral:rRNA from 1 species
CCAGCAGCUGCGGUAAUUCCAGCUCCAAUAGCGUAUAUUUAAGUUGUUGCAGUUAAAAAGCUCGUAGUCGGAUUUUGGCUGAGAACGAUCGGUCCGCCGUUAGGUGUGCACUGAUUGGUCUCAGCUUCCUGGUGAGGAGGUGUGCUUCACGGCCACUUAGUCACCGUGGUUACUUUGAAAAAAUUAGAGUGUUCAAAGCGGGCUUACGCUUGAAUAUAUUAGCAUGGAAUAACACCAUAGGACUCCUGUCCUAUUUCGUUGGUCUCGGGACGGGAGUAAUGAUUAAGAGGAACAGUUGGGGGCAUUCGUAUUUCAUUGUCAGAGGUGAAAUUCUUGGAUUUAUGAAAGACGAACUUCUGCGAAAGCAUUUGCCAAGGAUGUUUUCA